GCGGGUGUGAUGUAGCGGCUAGCAUCUGAGUGCGCCACACUCAGUGCAUGGGUUCAAGUCCCAUCACCCGCU
rnacentral:tRNA from 1 species